rnacentral:sRNA from 1 species
ACAAAGACUACGUGUGCAGUCAUAUCA